CAAAAACGGCACCAUUUAUUUCACAGUGUUCGCACGGCUCCAUGGGGCGCUAUGGGGCGCCAUGGGGCGCUAUGGGGCGCUAUGGGGCGCCAUGGGGUGCCGUGGGGCGCUAUGGGGCGCUAUGGGGUGCUGUGGGGGUGCCCUGAGGUGCUAUGGGGUGUUGUGGGGUGCUAUGGGGCGCUAUGGGGCGCUAUGGGGGGCUGUGGGGCGCUAUGGGGAACCAUGGGGUGCUAUGGGGUGCCCUGAGGUGCUAUGGGGCGCUGUGGGGCACCAUGGGGUGCUAUGGGGUGCUGUGGGGCACUGUGGGGCACCAUGGGGUGCUAUGGGGCGCUGUGGGGUGCCCUGAGGUGCGAUGGGGCGCUGUGGGGCACCAUGGGGUGCUAUGGGGUGCCCUGAGGUGCAAUGGGGCGCUGUGGGGCACCAUGGGGUGCUAUGGGGCGCUGUGGGGCGCUAUGGGGCAUCAUGGGGUGCUAUGGGGCACUGUGGGGUGCAAUGGGGGGCUGUGGGGCGCCAUGGGGCGCUGUGGGGUGCUGUGGGGCGCUAUGGGGCCCUAUGAGGCACUGUGGGGCACAGUGGGGUGCUGUGGGGCACAGUGAGGCGCUAUGGGUCACCAUGGGGUGCUGUGGGGCGCUAUGGGGUGCUAUGGGGCGCUAUGGGGUGCUGUGGGGUGCCCUGAGGUACUAUGGGGCAUCAUGGGGUGCUGUGGGGCGCUAUGGGGCACCAUGGGGUGAUAUGGGGCGCUGUGGGGUGCUGUGGGGAGCUAUAGGGUGCUAUGAGGCACUAUGGGGCGCUAUGGGGCUCCAUGGGGUGCUAUGGGGCGCUGUGGGGCGCUAUGGGGCACAGUGGGCCGCUAUGGGGCCCUAUGAGGCACUGUGGGGCACAUUGGGGCGCUAUGGGGCACAGUGGGGUGCUAUGGGGUGUUGUGGGGUGCUAUGGGGCACUAUGGGGCGCCAUGGGGGGCUGUGGGGCGCUAUGGGGCGCCGUGGGGUGAUAUGGGGUGCUGUGGGGCGCUAUGGGGCGUUAUGGGGUGCUGUGGGGUGCUAUGGGGCAUCAUGGGGUGCUAUGGGGCGCUGUGGGGUGCAAUGGGGGGCUAUGGGGCACCAUGGGGUGCUAUGGGGCGCCGUGGGGUGCUAUGGGGGGCUGUGGGGUGCUGUGGAGCGGUAUGGGGUACCAUGGGGCACUAUGGGGCGCUAUGGGGUGCUAUGGGGUGCUAUGGGGUGCCCUGAGAUGCAAUGGGGUGCUGUGGGGUGCUAUGGGGCACCAUGGGGUGCUAUGGGGCGCUAUGGGGUGCUAUGGGGAGCUAUAGGGGGCUAUGAGGCACUAUGGGGCGCUAUGGGGCUCCAUGGGGUGCUAUGGGGCGCUGUGGGGCGCUAUGGGGCACAGUGGGCCGCUAUGGGGCCCUGUGAGGCACUGUGGGGCGCAGUGGGGUGCUAUGGGGCACAGUGGGGCGCUAUGGGGCGCUGUGGGGCGCUAUGGGGCACUAUGGGGCACUAUAGGGUGCUAUGAGGCACAGUGGGGCGCUAUGGGGCACCAUGGGGUGCUGUGGGGCGCUAUGGGGCGCUAUGAGGUGCUGUGGGGGUGCCCUGAGGUGCUAUGGGGUGUUGUGGGGUGCUAUGGGGCACUAUGGGGCACCAUGGGGGGCUGUGGGGCGCUAUGGGGUGCCGUGGGGUGAUAUGGGGUGCCCUGAGGCGCUAUGGGGCGUUAUGGGGUGCUGUGGGGUGCUAUGGGGCAUCAUGGGGUGCUAUGGGGCGCUGUGGGGUGCAAUGGGGGGCUGUGGGGCACUAUGGGGCACCAUGGGGUGCUAUGGGGCGCCGUGGGGUGCUAUGGGGGGCUAUGGGGCGCUGUGGGGUGCUGUGGAGCGGUAUGGGGUACCAUGGGGCACUAUGGGGCGCUAUGGGGUGCUAUGGGGAGCUAUAGGGGGCUAUGAGGCACUAUGGGGGGCUAUGGGGCACCAUGGGGUGCUAUGGGGCGCUGUGGGGCGCUAUGGGGCACAGUGGGCUGCUAUGGGGCCCUAUGAGGCACUGUGGGGCACAUUGGGGUGCUAUGGGGCACAGUGGGGUGCUAUGGGGCGCCAUGGGGUGCAGUGAGGCGCUAUGGGGCACUAUAGGGCGCUAUGAGGCACUAUGGGGUGCUAUGGGGCGCUAUGGGGGGCUGUGGGGUGCUAUGGGGAACCAUGGGGUGCUAUGGGGUGCCCUGAGGUGCUAUGGGGCGCUGUGGGGCACCAUGGGGUGCUAUGGGGCGCUGUGGGGCGCUAUGGGGCAUCAUGGGGUGCUAUGGGGCGCUGUGGGGUGCAAUGGGGGGCUGUGGGGCACUAUGGGGCACCAUGGGGUGCUAUGGGGCGCCGUGGGGUGCUAUGGGGGGCUAUGGGGCGCUGUGGGGUGCUGUGGAGCGGUAUGGGGUACCAUGGGGCACUAUGGGGUGCUAUGGGGUGCUAUGGGGUGCCCUGAGAUGCUAUGGGAUGCUGUGGGGUGCUAUGGGGCACCAUGGGGUGCUAUGGGGCGCUGUGGGGUGCUAUGGGGCACUGUGGGGCGCUAUGGGGCACAGUGGGCCGCUAUGGGGCCCUGUGAGGCACUGUGGGGCGCAGUGGGGUGCUAUGGGGCACAGUGGGGCGCUAUGGGGUGCGGUGGGGCACAGUGGGGUGCUAUAGGGCACCAUAGGGUGCUAUGGGGCACAGUGGGGUGCUGUGGGGCACAGUGGGGCGCUAUUGGGCCCUAUGAGGCACUAUGGUGCUCUAUGGGGCGCUAUGGGGCACAGUGGGGCGCUAUGGGGCACAGUGGGGUGCAGUGGGGCUCUGUGGGAUGCUGUGGGGCACAGUGGGGCGCUAUGGGGCACCAUAGGGUGCUAUGGGGCACUGUGGGGCGCUACUGGGCCCUAUGAGGCACUAUGGGGCUCUAUGGGGCGCUAUGGGGCACAGUGGGACGCUAUGGGGCACAGUGGGGUGCUAUGGGGCACUGUGGGGCGCUAUUGGGCCCUAUGAGGCACUAUGGGGCUCUAUGGGGUGCUAUGGGGCACAGUGGGACGCUAUGGGGCACAGAGGGGUGCUAUAGGGCACCAUAGUGUGCCAUGGGGCACAGUGGGGCGCAGUGGGGUACAGUGGUGCACUAUGGGGCGCUCGCUAUGGGGUCAGGCACUCAGGUGUGUGUCCAUCUUGGCGCUAUGGGGCUCUAUGGGGCGCUAUGGGGCGCUAUGGGGCAGUCUCUAUGGGGCGCUAUGGGGCUCGAUGGCCGCUAUGGGGCUCUAUGGGGCGCUAUGGGGCUAUGCACGCAAAUAGGCCUCCAUGAGUUCACUAUGGGGCUCUAUGGGGUUCUAUGGGGCAGUCUCUAUGGGGCACGGCAGGGCGCUAUGGGGCUCGAUGGCCGCUAUGGGGCUCUAUGGGGCAGUCUCUAUGGGGCUCUAUGGGGCGCUAUGGGGCACUAUGGGGCAGUGUCCAUGGGGCGCUAUGGGGCUACGCCCGCAGAUAGGCCUCCAAGCGCUCACUAUGGGGCUCUAUGGGGCACUAUGGGGUUCUAUGGGGUGCUAUGGGGCGCUAUGGGGCAGUGUGUAUGGGGUGCUAUGGGGCUACGCCCGCAGAUAGGCCUCCAAGCGCUCACUAUGGGGCUCUAUGGGGCGCUAUGGGGCACUAUGGGGUUCUAUGGGGUGCUAUGGGGCGCUAUGGGGCAGUGUCCAUGGGGCGCUAUGGGGCUACGCCCGCAGAUAGGCCUCCAAGCGCUCACUAUGGGGCUCUAUGAGACACUAUGGGGUUCUAUGGGGUGCUAUGGGGCGCUAUGGGGCAGUGUCCAUGGGGCGCUAUGGGGCUACGCCCGCAGAUAGGCCUCCAAGCGCUCACUAUGGGGCUCUAUGGGGCUCUAUGAGGCACUAUGGGGUUCUAUGGGGUGCUAUGGGGCGCUAUGGGGCAGGGUCUAUGGGGCGCUAUGGGGCUACGCCCGCAGAUAGGCCUCCAAGCGUUCGCUAUGGGGCAGCCGCCCCCACCGCGCCAACAGCCGCAGCGCCGCCGCCAACAGCUUCGUACUGAGAGCCUCCAACCUAUGGGGGGGGGGGGCAGAAUGUGGGGCGCCGUGGGGCAGAGAUGUGGGGCAGCCGCCCCCCAUCUCACCCCAUAGAUUCC
ensembl:lncRNA